GUGUUCCUUGAAAGAAGAGAUGGACGGCAUCUCCCAAUACAACGAAGGGGACGACCUUUGGGCUUAUCUAUUAAUUGUUUUA